rnacentral:sRNA from 2 species
GGACAGCCAUCGCCGAGUCCCAUGGUGCGAGUGCCAGGGGAGCCGGGGACCCAAACGUCCCUGGGGUGAAUCGGACGCCUUCCCCGGCCGGGGGAGGGGCCCGUAGGAGACCUUCCUGCUCCGAACCCGUCAGCUAACCCGGUAGGCGAGAAGGAAGGAAAG